UCCGGGGUCGUCCAACGGCAAGACAGUGGCCUUUGAAGCCAUUUAUCCUGGUUCGAAUCCAGGCCCCGGAA
rnacentral:tRNA from 1 species